AGCGAACGCUGGCGGCAGGCCUAACACAUGCAAGUCGAGCGCCCCGCAAGGGGAGCGGCAGACGGGAGAGUAACACAUAAAAACAUGCCCUUCAGUUCGGAACAACCCAGGGAAACUUGAGCUAAUACCGGAUGCAUCCGUAAGGAGAAAGAUUUAUCGCUGAAGGAUUGGCCCGCGUCCGAUUAGCUAGUUGGUGAGGUAAUGGCUCACCAAGGCGACGAUCGGUAGCUGGUCUGAGAGGAUGAUCGGCCUCACUGGGACUGAGACACGGCCCAGACUCCUACGGGAGGCAGCAGUGGGGAAUAUUGGACAAUGGGCGCAAGCCUGAUCCAGCCAUGCCGCGUGGGUGAUGAAGGCCCUAGGGUUGUAAAGCCCUUUCGGCGAGGAAGAUAAUGACGGUACCCGCAGAAGAAGCCCCAGCUAACUUCGUGCCAGCCGCCGCAGUAAUAC
rnacentral:rRNA from 1 species